rnacentral:pre_miRNA from 1 species
CAAGAUGGAGAAGCAGGGCACGUGCAAUACUAACUCAUGAACAUACACACAUGAUGGAAGUGAAUACAAAGAGAAUCUACAUUCUCUUAUGUUUCAUUUUUUUAAUUGAGUUAGUUCUUCAUGUGCCCCUCUUCCCCAUCAUGA